rnacentral:sRNA from 1 species
GAAUACUACUAGCAAUAUUUAUUGUUGUUUUGCCAAGGGAAAUUUGGUACUGAUGGGUUUCAAACCAACGCUUCUGGCCGAUUCCUGUUAGUAGCAAAUUGGGCAAUCUAGCACACGAAAAAUACAUUUGGUGAAAGCAGAGGAUUGUAUUGGGGGGGAUGCAAAAAGAAAUGACUGCAAAUUCUUAAGAUAUCAGUUUGGGAUGAACCAGCAAAUAUGUCGGGAACAAUAAAAAUAUACUAUGCCGAAGCGAAGGGAAAGGUGUGAUGAGUUGGGAAGUGUAUGUGCAGGCUCCUUGGGAACAUUCCUCGGACAGCAUUCGCCAGUUCUAUUUUAUACCAGCCUCUUGGGCCUGGUAUCAAAUCCCCAAGAGCCAUUCUCUGUUCCAAAUUUACAUCUUUGCGCCUUUCCUCACCUUAGCAGCUGAGAGCUUGAGUGCCUCUCGCACUCCCAAGUCAAUGAGCACGUCUUCGGAUCCACCUACACAAAACAUAGAUUGUUAGCAUUGAGAACCGCUACCGGUUAUUCCACCGAAGAUUAAACGUACCAGGGACGAUUAAUGAGUGGGUACUGCGCGAAAUUGCCUCGAUACGAGAACCCUGCCCUGUCUUCGUGAGGCCAAGCCUAGCGGUUUCAAAACUUGUUAGAAAAGCCCAGACAACCUUUGACGGUAAAAUGGAAAAGAAAGGAAAAGAGAGACGAUAAUGGUGGCAACGUAUGGGGAAACUCCAUACCCUCCCAUAAUCUGGACACAGUUGUCCGCAACGAACUUGUUCAUCUGCCCGCCUUUCACCUUCAACAACGCUGUAACACCGCCCAACUGCCGAUUUCCAUCCUGAUAACUCAUAUGAUCCAACUCGUAAACGAUCUGCUCCGUCCACGCCUGCAGCGCCUCGACCUCCUUAGCCAUCGAGCCGAAUUUAUACCUCACGACCGGUUGGUCGAUUAGCUUCAUGUCAAAUGCCUCGCGCUUCAUAGCCCACGCCAUUGCGUCUUGCAGGCAGGUGCGAGCAUUGCGAAGGGCCUGGAACGCAAUCCACAAACGUUCGUGGUUGAAGUUGCUCAUGACGUAUCGGAAUCCUUGGCCCUCGGAGCCGAUGAGGUACUCCACGGGGACCUUGACGUCCUCGAAGAUGAUAUACGUGGUGGCGCUGAGGCCAUCAGCGCCGAUUUCGAUUUUGCGCGUCCGGAUGCCUUCGGUGCGCGGGAUCAGGAGGAAGGAAAUACCAUCCGCGCCAGGGCCACCUGUUCGGACGGCCGUCUAGCAAGAAUAGUCAGACCUGGGAUUGUUGGAAGCUGGGAUUUCUUUCCAUUGCUGUCAUUGGCCUAUAUUUUUUACCAAUUUGAAUAAGAACUUACCAUGAAAUAGUCUGAAUACAUGCCGUUGG